rnacentral:rRNA from 1 species
AUUGAACGCUGGCGGCAUGCCUUACACAUGCAAGUCGAACGGCAGCACGGGAGCAAUCCUGGUGGCGAGUGGCGAACGGGUGAGUAAUACAUCGGAACGUGCCCAGUAGUGGGGGAGUAGCCCGGCGAAAGACCGGAUUAAUACCGCAUACGACCUACGGGUGAAAGACGGGGAGUCGCAAGACCUCGCGCUAUUGGAGCGGCCGAUGGCAGAUUAGCUUGUUGGGNGGGGUAAAGGCCUACCAAGGCUACGAUCUGUAGCUGGUCUGAGAGGACGACCAGCCACACUGGGACUGAGACACGGCCCAGACUCCUACGGGAGGCAGCAGUGGGG